rnacentral:rRNA from 1 species
AUUGAACGCUGGCGGCAGGCCUAACACAUGCAAGUCGAACGAGUGGCGGACGGGUGAGUAAUGUCUGGGAAACUGCCCGAUGGAGGGGGAUAACUACUGGAAACGGUAGCUAAUACCGCAUACCAUCGGAUGUGCCCAGAUGGGAUUUGCUAGUAGGUGGGGUAAAGGCUCACCUAGGCGACGAUCCCUAGCUGGUCGGAGAGGAUGACCAGCCACACGGGAACUGGGACACGGUCCAGCCUCCUACGGGAGGCCGCAGUGGGGAAUAUUGCACAAUGGGCGCAAGCCUGAUGCAGCCGUGCGGCGUGUAUAAAGAAGGCCUUCGGGUUGUAAAGUACUUUCAGCGGGGAGGCGUUACCCGCAGAAGAAGCACCGGCUAACUCCGUGCCAGCAGCCGCGGUAAUAC